rnacentral:rRNA from 1 species
CCCUGCCCUUUGUACACACCGCCCGUCGCUACUACCGAUUGAAUGGCUUAGUGAGGCCUCCGGAUUGGUUUAAAGAAGGGGGCAACUCCAUCUUGGAACCGAAAAGCUGGUCAAACUUGGUCAUUUAGAGG